rnacentral:rRNA from 1 species
GAUGAACGCUGGCGACGUGCCUAAUACAUGCAAGUCGAGCGAACAGACGAGGAGCUUGCUCCUCUGACGUUAGCGGCGGACGGGUGAGUAACACGUGGAUAACCUACCUAUAAGACUGGGAUAACUUCGGGAAACCGGAGCUAGUACCGGAUAAUAUAUUGAACCGCAUGGUUCAAUAGUGAAAGACGGUUUUGCUGUCACUUAUAGAUGGAUCCGCGCCGCAUUAGCUAGUUGGUAAGGUAACGGCUUACCAAGGCAACGAUGCGUAGCCGACCUGAGAGGGUGAUCGGCCACACUGGAACUGAGACACGGUCCAGACUCCUACGGGAGGCAGCAGUAGGGAAUCUUCCGCAAUGGGCGAAAGCCUGACGGAGCAACGCCGCGUGAGUGAUGAAGGUCUUCGGAUCGUAAAACUCUGUUAUUAGGGAAGAACAAAUGUGUAAGUAACUAUGCACGUCUUGACGGUACCUAAUCAGAAAGCCACGGCUAACUACGUG